ACAGUGCUUACUGAAUAGCUUAUCAACUUGAUAACAUCCCAGCAUCAUACAGUAAUUUCCAGGAGGUAGGGAAACGAAUGAAGAGACCACCAGAGCAGAGCCAGUUGCUUCAUAAUACAAUGUAUUGCAAGCAAAAUAAAGAUAUGCCACCAUUAUUAAUAAAAUUUAAAAAGUACAUGUUUCUAUUUUUUAGGAAAUCAGUCUAAACUCUAGGAGCAGAAAGCAAGUGAAUGAGGCUACAGCUUUUGGAGGCCAUACUAACAAAAGAGUUAGAUUCUCUCAUUUCUCUGAUUAUACAGAUUAUGCUCCUCCCUCAAAGUGUCCACUGAAAGAGGACAGAGGAGCCUGUCCAUUGCCCUGGUGCUAUUAUGGUACUAUUAUUAAUACCCUGGUACUAUUAUGUGCAUGUAGUACAUAAUUGUAAAUUCAAAUUGUAUUUGGAACUGCUGCUAACUAAAUUUUUAAAUUAUUUAAGACAGAUUCAAUCAAAACUCUGCAGGCCUGGUAUUAGGAGCAAUACAAAAUUGACAUUGAAAAGUUGAAGGAACAAUCACUCUCCAUCCCCUCCCCUGUCAAUGUCUGAGCUGCUGCCAACAUCCAGGAGGUCACCAUGGGCUAUUUCCAGCUGGCUCAGUUUAUCAGAGCAAUCCUCUCUCCUACCAACCAGCCAUUAGUCAUCUCUCCUGUUCUCCCACUGUCCCAGUCUGUAUCCAGAGCUAACUCAAUCACAAGGUGGCAGAUUUCAAAGAGAAAUUAAAGUAUUUAUUAGAUGCCCAUCCCCAGAAUGUUCUAAAAGAUAGAUACAUAUCUCAAGGGGGCAGGGCGUUGUAGAUAAAAAGAAAUUUUUUCUUAAAUUAUAUUGAUACUUUAUAAAAUGAAACAUAAUAUUUUAAGUGA